AGCUGCACCCGGCCUCGGCAGGAGGGGACGUUCUGGGCUCGCAGGAUCCUCCUGCAGGCACGGUCUGUGCGGAGUGAUGGAGCCCGGCGUGGGGAGCGCAGCUUUCCUCCUCUUGGUCGUUCACUGGCCCAUAGAAGGGCCAGCAGGACGUGGGGCAGCCGGGUGUCAGGUCAGAGCAGCGAGGAGCUCACCAGGAGCCUCUCGGGGCCGUGGGGAUGCAGCGGGAGGUGUUUUGUCCCGCCUGGCAGCAGUUACGGCACGGUGUGCUGCUGCGGGAGGCAGCGGGGAGCGCGGGGCUGGCUGCUCGCUCCGCACCUUCACUCCUCCACCUGUGCUUUGCUUCCAGGGCUCCUUCUUCCUGCUCGAGCAUGAAGAGCGCCCGCAGCAGCUCCUCCUCCCAGGGCGCCGGCGCUGGAGGUGUGGAUCUGAGCCUCACCGGCUUCCCCGCGCCCGUGUCGCGGCGCCCCAGCAGCGCGUCCCCUGCCAAGCACAUGGCACGUUCCAUCUCGGUCACCGCCGACAGCAAACCAAAGAGGAACACUCUGAUGCGGGAUCCCGGGCAAUGAACAACCUCCGGAGGUCCAACAGCACCACUCAGGUCAACCAGCGGGUGAACAGCGCGCGCAGCUCCGAGCAGGCAGGAGACUUCCUGACCUUCUUUGAGGGCAGUUCUGGGGGCAGACGGAAAGUGCCGAGUCUGAGCAAAACCUGCCCGGAGAAGAAAACCACGUGGAACGUCUUGGAUGAUCAACCACGGGUGUGCCCGGGCCCCUCCGGUGCCCGCGGCGUUGAGGCACCAGCGGGCAUGAGGAGGAAAGAGGCCACCAUGCUCCUGGCAGCCAACUUCACCGCCAACAACAGGAGCAACAAGGGUGCGAUGGGCAACUGUGUCACUACGAUGGUGCACAACAACUACUCCACCACCGAGAAGGGCCCUGCACCCAAAAGCUCCAACCAGGCACCCAGCUCCCUCAACAAUGUUGUCAAAGCGUCCUCAAACGAGGAUGGUGAAAGCAGCUUCGUGAAGUCUCAGAAGAAUUUCUCCAGCAACAACAUCAUGACCUGCAACAACAACAGCAGCAGCAGCAGCAGCGUGCCCCGGAGGAAGGAGGUGACCGAGGAGGAGGCAGAGAGGUUCAUCCAGCAGGUGAACCUGGCCGCUGUCACCAUCCAGCGCUGGUACCGGCGCCACUCGCAGCGACACCGGGCGGCAGCCGCGGCGCUGGGGCGUUUGCUGGCUUCCAAACGGGAGGAAAGGCAGCAGCACAUGGAGGAAGGGAAUAUCCUGGAUUUGCACCAGAGGAAGGACGAGGAACGCCGGAGGAUCCGAGAGGAGAAGGCGCGCCUGGCCCGGUGUGCUGCCAUCCAGGAGCUGCACCAGAAAAGGGCCCAAAAGGCUUUGGAUGCAAAGUGCUUGGCAGAAGAAGAGCUUGCGCUGGUGAAGGAGAGCAGAAGGGUAGCAAAGAAGAAGCCAGCCAAAGCUGCUUCUGCAAGGAACGUCAGCCCAGCCAGCAGUGGCACCAAAGCCAACAAUGCUGAGGCCAAUUUCCACUCGGGAGCUGCAGAGCCAGAAGAAAGCGGCCUCACAGACCUUGUCUCCGUGCCCUUGCAGGACCCUGGGGCAGAGGAGAAGCUGCAGGAUGUGAGCUCCAGGGAGAUGGGUGCUGAGGACCUGGAGACGGUGGUGACUGCUGCCAGCAGGUCUCAGUCCAAAGUCACUCUCAAUGAGCUGCUGGACACGCUCAGGCUGUUGGAGGAAGAGCCCGAGCUGCUGCCGCCACCGAAGCUGUGCAAGAAGGACAGAUAUGCCUGGAUGGACGGGCAGGAGCCCAGCUCCAAUUCCCUGACUGCGGAUAACCUGGAGAAGUUUGGGAAGCUGAACCACUCCCCGGGGGUCCCCGAGGACGGGGCCCUGCUCUCGGAGGCCAAGCUCCAAAGCAUCAUCAGCUUCCUGGAUGAGAUGGAGAAGUCGGAGCAGGAGAGGCCCAGGUCGGCCGCCUCAGCCACGCAGCGGGAGGGUCUCCUCUCGGAGGAGGAUCUGGCUCACUUGGAGCAGGCGUCGGCUGUUGCCACAGAGGUCACCAGCUCCAUCAUGAGGCUGAAGCUGGAAGUGGAGGAGAAGAAGCGAGCCAUCAGCCUGCUGCAGACCGCCCUGGCUCAGCAGAGGGAACUGACUGUCCAGCACGUCAAACAGACUGAGAAGGAGCUUGGCCACCAGCUCAGGCUGCAGAGGGAACAGUAUGAGGCAGCUAUCCAGAGGCAUCUGGCCUUCAUCGACCAGCUCAUUGAAGAUAAGAAGGUGCUGAGUGAGAAGUGCGAGGCCGUGGUAACUGAGCUGAAACAAGUGGACCAGAAGUACAGCAAGAAGAUCACCCAGAUGCAGGAGCAGCACGAGCUGGUCUGGCGCACUUUGGGCCCCUUUUCCGAGGAGAUUAAGAAGCUGAAGGAACUGAUGAGCGCAACCGAGAAGAUCAGGCGGGAGAAAUGGAUCGAUGAGAAAACCAAAAAGAUCAAAGAAAUCACUGUGAAAGGGCUGGAGCCGGAGAUCCAGAAGCUCAUCGCCAAGCACAAGCAGGACAUCAGGAAGCUGAAGAUGCUGCACGAGGCCGAGCUGCUGCAGUCGGACGAGCAGGCUGCCCAGCGCUACGGGCGGCAGGCGGAGGAGCUGCGGGGCCUGCUGGAGCGGGAGAAGGAGGAGGAGAGCCAGCGGGAGCGGGAGCGCGCCCGGCAGCGAUGUGAGCAGCAGCUGGAGCAGGAGGAACAGGCACUGCAGCAGCAGCGGCGCCGGCUCUAUGCAGAGGUGGCCGAGGAGAAGGAGCGGCUCAGCCAGCAAGCGGCCAGAGAGCAGAGGUGGAGGAGCUGCGGCAGCAGCUGGAGGCCAGCAGCUCGGCCCUCACCAGGGCGCUGAAGGAGGAGUACGCCAAGGAGAAGGAGGAGCAGGAGAGGCGGCACCAGGCAGAGGUGAAGGUGCUGAAGGACCGGCUGGAGAUCGAGAAGCAGGCCUGGGAGGCGAGCUACGUGAAGAAGGAGGAAGCCUGGCUGCUCUCCCGGGAGCGGGAGCUGCGGGAGGAGGUGAAGAAGGAGAGGGACAAAGAGAUCGAGCUGGUGAUCCGGCGCCUGGAGGCUGACACGUCCUUGGCCAAGGAGGAGUGUGAGAGGGCAGCAGAGAACCGGAUUAAGAGGAUCCGAGACAAGUACGAGGUAGAGCUGCAGGAGCUGGAGAGAUCUGAACGGAAGCUGCAGGAGCGCUGCAAUGAGCUGAAGGGGCGGCUGGCAGAGCUGGAGGGGGAGAGCGUCCGGCUGCAGGGCCUGCUGAAGCACAAGGAGCAGGAGGUGGAUGAGAUCCGCAAGAUGAGGGACGAGCUGGCGCAGGAGCGGGGCAGCCUGGCCGAAGUGAUCCGGCAGGAAUUUGCCGACAGGCUGGUGGGGACGGAGGAGGAGAACAAGCGGCUCAAGGCGGAGAUGGCGGAGAUGAGAACCCGGCAGCGCCUGGAGCUGGACAGGGUGGUGCAGGAGAAGGACAAAGAGCUGGAGGAGGUUCACAGGAGGGUGAAGACAGCGGUGCUGAGGAAGGAGGAGAGCGUGAGCAGCCUUCGGAGGCAGUACGAGGCGGCCGUGCAGCGAGCCACCCGCCUGGAAGCCCUCCUGGAGCAGCAGCGCAAGCAGCUGCUGGCCCCCAACUGACCACCCGUGUGCCCGGGGCCCGUCCCUCCCUCUGCCCUCGUGUGCCGCAGCCCGGUGCCGGUGCCGUGUGCCCUGCCGGGGCGCUCAGCAGCCUCCGUGCGUCCGGUGGCUGUGUUUUAAAGAUAAAUCUGUGCUGGUUUCUACA